CCCUAGUAUUAGUAAUAUUAUAAAAAUUAGUAUAAGUGAAAUUUAAACAUAUUGGCGGUUAAUUUUUUUUUAGAGGAGCUUGUCAUUUAGUAGAAUUAACUCUUUAGAUUUUAGUAGUAAUGAAAUAUAUUCAUCUCCGUUACCAAAUAAGUUUAAGAAAAUAUUUUUAGUAUAUCAGGUCAAGAUGUAGUUUUUACUAAAAAUUAUUAGCUACAUUUAUAUUAAUAAAUGGAUGGAUACAGGAAGAUUAAUUUUGAAAUUGAAUUUAAUUGUAAUAAUAAUUAGAAAAUUAUUAUGAAAUAAUAUAAUUAGUGUA
rnacentral:rRNA from 1 species